rfam:Tupaia chinensis contig97351, whole genome shotgun sequence.
UAAUUAUCGGGAACAGCGCUUCCCAUAAUUU